AGCUAGGGUCUAAUGAUAUCGAAGAUUUCAGUGUUUAAACACGAUAGACUCAAGUUAGCACAUGAACAGAUUAUAUCCAAAUGACACGGUGUUUAUCAUGGUUGUUUUGACUUGGAAGAAUACAACCGCAACAACACCAAUGCUCAUGUUUACACAUUUGCUUAUCCAGGACAAGAAUCAUUUGUAAUUUGUAAAGGAAUCUUAAUUUCAACCAAGAUUCAAAAACAAAAUGAAAAAAGAAACUUCUGUGACACAAAAUUGAACGCAACGUCAUAUCGAUGUAUCCAACGGGGAGGUUAUUUUACCAAAUUGCCCUGUUAAAAGACUUUUAAUUCUGUUUUCUAUGGCUUUCAUCAGAGAUUCAGAGAAUAUCAAGCCCUAAUUACGAAUUGUGGACACAGGUGAGGCAAUUUUAAGAUCGUGACUAUGUUACUGAUUGGAGCUUGUCAUGUUCUUCUCAUACCUAAAUUUGGAAUGAUAAUCAAAGCAAAAGAUCAAAUCAUCAUCAUCUGGGGAUUAUUGUACAGAAGGAACGGUGUGGAAAGAUGAAUAAGCCAUACAUCUCUCUAUUUGGGCACCUGCAAAAAUCGAUGUAAUGGUUACUCCCUGUCGUUAAUGAAACGAUUAGUCUGGCAUGGGGUGUGAAGGAUGACUUGAGAAAGCUUAUGACAACCUUGGAAUCUAUUCAGGCUUUGAUCUCUGAUCCUGAGGAAAAGCAAGCAAAAGAUGCUACUGUGCGACUUUGGUUGAAAAGGCUUAAAGGUGUUGUUUAUGAUGCCGAUGAUCUUAUGGAUGAAUUCAUUUAUGAAACCAUGCGUCGCCGUGAGAUGGGAAGCCAGCUCAAGCACAAGGGAGAUAGCGAAAAAAUGUGAUGGUUUACCACUUGCGGCGAACUCUCUUGGAAGUUUAGUGUACUCUAAAAGAGACGAAAGCUACUGGUUGUUAAUCAGAAACGAUAAUAAUUUAUGGGAUACACCAGGCAAUAAAAGAGUCAUCAAUCUUAAAGCUGAGCUAUGAUUCGCCUUUGCAACAAUGUUUCUCAUAUUGUUGUGUAUUUCCGAAGGACUCGGAAAUAAAAUCAGAGACUUUGAUUAGGUUAUGAAUUGCAGAAGGAUUCCUUCAGCCAUCCAAUGAGGUAUAUAAUGGAUCGGUUGAAGAUAUCGGAAAUGAUUAUUUUGAGCUUUUGUUUUGGAACUCGUUGCAUGACUUUGUGCAUGAUCUUGCAACCAGUGUAGUAGAUAGUCAUGAAUUUGCAGUUAUGCAGGCAAGAGAUGGGAAUAAAGAUGUUUCAAGAAUUCGUUAUUUACGAUUAGUGUGUGAAUAAGGAUCAUCAGCGACAACUCCCAAGACACUGUGAGAAGCAAAGAAUUAUGAGAACGGUUGUUGCCAUUUAUUUUCUCUCGGUGAGUGGGAGAUAAACUUAUCUUUUUCGGUUCCUAAGUUUAAACAUCUGAGGUACCUAGACUCUCAGGUUGUAAAAUCGAUUUAUUACAUGAUGUUAUAUUAAAUCAUUCUUACAACUUGCAGACAUUGGUAUUGCGUAAGUGCAUAAAUGUAUCCGUGCUUCUUGGUGGAAUUGGGUCAUGAAAAAAAUUUGAGGCAUCUCGAUAUCUCCGACUCGGAUAUUAAACUUUUACCCGAUUCCUUCAUUAAUCUCACUAAUUUGCAGACUUUGAAUCCUCACGGGUACCGUAAGUUCGAAGGCUUACCCGAAAGUGUUGGGUUGUUAAGUCAUCUAAGUUUCCUUGAUGUUUCAAUACAUCAAUCAAAAACUUACCUGAUUCAGUUAGUUGCAUCAACAAUCUAAAGAUGUUGCAAUUCAAGGGGUGUAUGUACUUGAAUGCAUUACCUGUAUAACCUGGAGCAUUGACACAAUUAAGAUGUCUUGAUCUGGGUGGCACUAGCAUUAAAGUAUUGCCUGAAUCAUGCAUUAGCAACCUCUGCAAUCUAGAGAUGUGAAUUCCGGAUGCUGUGAGCUUCCAAAAGAUAUUAAGAGUUGGCCGAAAUUAAGACAGCUUACACAUUCUAGUCAAAUGCUCAUAGAAAGUCUAACUUGCCUUGAAACAUUAAGAACAUACAUGGUGAGGAAAGAAGCAGAUACCUGUCGAAGUGGGAUUGAGGAGUUAGCAUCACUAAACUCCCUCUGGGUGUUAUGUAUAGUAAAUCUAGAGAAUGUUAGAGGAGGGAUACAAGAUGCAAGAAGAACAAAGUUAAAUAUGAGAGAUUUAUGGUUAAUGUGGAGGUCCCAUGAAAAACACUCGGACGAAGAACGCUCGGACGAUGAAAUGCUGUCGGAGGGUCUCCAGCCUCAUCCUAAUUCGAUAAUUGUUGGGGUUAAAGCCUCCAAAGUGGAUGGAGGGUUCAUUGUGUAAUUGCCUUCCUCCAGAAUUUGGCUUCUUUAUUGUUAUCAAAUGUCAAGAGAUAUGGGUAUCUCCCAGCUUUGGGUAUGGUCCGAUGUCUUAGAGUGCUUGAUAUUUGGAAAAUAGACUCAGUCAUGUGUUUGGGUGAAGAAUUUUAUCACCACAAACAAGAGGAAGAAGAAAGCUGUAGUACCAAAAAUUUAUCCUUAUUCCCUUUGUUAUCUAUGUUGAGUAUUGUAGAUUGAGUAAUUUAGAAGAAUGGGUUGCUCCCCCAACUCCUACUCCUUCCUCGCCAUAUUAUAUUGAUAAUGCUUUCACUUCCAUUGAGCAUUUGAAUAUCUCGAACUGCUCCAGAUUGAGAAGCAUACCAAUAAAUUCAUUUUCUUCUAUGAAGAAUUUGAUAUUAAAGCCGGUGUCGCUGUAGCACAGUGCUAAAGUUACUUGGUGAUGAUAUCAGUGACCUGAGUUCGAAACUCGCCAGCACCAAGUUCUUUACCGAUCAACAAAAAAAAAUAGAAUUUGAUAUUAAAGGGUACCAAUGACAGGAUUGUAAUGUUAUUCUUGGCUCCAAGUAGAGGAGAACAACGAGGCUCACUCGCAUCCAUUGCAAUAUCAGAAUCUCCAUAGCUGAUACAUUUCCCGCUGGGUGUGCUUCUCCAAAACAAUACUCCAAAUCUGCAUUCUCUACAUUUUUUUUUUGAUUGGUAAAGAAUCAGUGCUGGGGAGUUUCGAACUCAGGUCACUGGUAUUAUCACCCAAUGACUUUACCACUGUACUACAGUGACACCGGCCACUCUCUACAUAUUGAUGGCUGCUCUGAUUUUCAAGGAUUUUGCAGUGAUGAUCUCGACAACAACAACAACAGUUCUCUUCGCUCAGUGAAUUUGAUGAGAUGUCCUGUUUUAACGUCUCUGCCUGAUUUGUAGUUAUGGACUUCUCUUCGAGACUUAACCAUAUGGAAGUGUGACAAAUUGAAGGAGUCUAUAUCCUGUGAUCUUAAGAAACCCCUCAUCUUUCUUGAAUCACUCAAAGUGGAUUUUAUUCAAAGAGAAGGGCAGCAAGGACAUCCAUCUUAUUCAUCGGACUUGAUUAAUUUGAUGUCGAAGGAGAAGUAGAUCUGUUUGCUGCAAUUCAUCCCUUCUAACUCCAACAGGUUUUCCUUGAGAUCUCAACGAAGAUACAAUUGAAGCAUCGAGCUUCAAAUGGUAAUGGAGUCACAAAUAUUAUGGAAUCUGCUGUUUGUGUCACCAAUGUGGGGUCUGUUACUAUGGUGAAUUUAAGAGAGCAACUAAGCAAUGUAAGAGAAUAGGAUUGUACUGAUGGUAUAACCAGUGAAAUGAAAUUGCAAGUGUAGCAUUGCCACUUACACGUCAGGAUUCUGCCUCACUGACUUUAUUAGCGAGAACUUUCUACCAGAAGUCUGCCUCGCUGCCCCACCAUUGCAGCUUUGCUGGACAAGACAGUAUCUUCAUUUAUUCUUGUACGUCGGAAUCUUAUCUGGUGUAGUUGGGAGAGGUUACGAUAGUUGGAUAUUCAGGUGACCUGGCUGAUAGGGGUGGUCUGAAACGGAGAAAAAGAGCACAAAUUUGCUGUGUGUAGAACAUAUUCCUUAGCAGGUAUAACAUUGGCUUGGACUUUUCAUUUUUGUUUUCGUGCCUUGCAUGUACAGAUCCCUGUUUCUAUGGGAGCGACAUUCUUCUAUCAGGCAGUUGGAUUGCACAGAGGAGGGAAGGUGAUUGCAUUCGUAGGAGCGGAUAGGGGCACAAAUUGGAGGGUCUACCAGGUUGGAGUUCGUCCAGGGGUAAUAAAGUACAUAUGACUGAACUUAGACAACUAGCCAGCUGUAGACCAGUGCCAUAUUUCUAGGUGCAGCUGAAAUUGUAAACGUGACCAGAAAAAUCAAGCACAGGUAGUACUUGGGUUUUGAGAAAUUGUUGUCCCUGGAAAGUCCCUACUUAAAACCCCAGUCUUUUGUAACAAAUAUACAUAAAUUUUGUUUUUUUGUACAAUACUGCUAGACCAUAUAAUUCAUUCCCAACAACAGCAAUUCGAAAAUCGAAAAUUCAACCAUAAUUCUGAAAUAAAUUUAUGUGUUUCUUUCUAGACA